UACAAAGGGGGCUAGCGUUGCUCGGAAUUACUGGGCGUAAAGCGCACGUAGGCGGCUUUCUAAGUCGGGGGUGAAAUCCUGGAGCUCAACUCCAGAACUGCCUUCGAUACUGGAAAGCUCGAGUCCGGGAGAGGUGAGUGGAAUUCCCAGUGUAGCGGUGAAAUGCGUAGAUAUUGGGAGGAACACCAGUGGCGAAGGCGGCUCACUGGACCGGUUCUGACGCUGAGGCGCGAAAGCGUGGGUAGCAAACAGG
rnacentral:rRNA from 1 species